rnacentral:rRNA from 1 species
UUUGUGGAGAGUUUGAUCCUGGCUCAGGACGAACGCUGGCGGCAUGCCUAACACAUGCAAGUCGAACGGAGCGAUGAAGUUUCGAUGGAUUCGCUUAGUGGCGGACGGGUGAGUAACGCGUGGAUAACCUGCCUGAGAGUGGGGGAUAACAGCCCGAAAGGGCUGCUAAUACCGCAUAAUGUUGUCUGGGGACAUCCCCGGACAACCAAAGGAGCAAUCCGCUCUUGGAUGGGUCCGCGUCCGAUUAGCUAGUUGGUGAGGUAAUAGCUCACCAAGGCGACGAUCGGUAGCCGGCCUGAGAGGGUGAACGGCCACACUGGGACUGAGACACGGCCCAGACUC